rnacentral:rRNA from 1 species
UACGUAGGGGGCAAGCGUUGUCCGGAUUUAUUGGGCGUAAAGAGCGUGUAGGCGGCCAGGUAGGUCUGCUGUGAAAACUCGAGGCUUAACCUCGAGCUGUCGGCGGAAACCAUCUGGCUAGAGUCCGGAAGAGGAGAAUGGAAUUCCCGGUGUAGCGGUGAAAUGCGUAGAGAUCGGGAAGAACAUCGGUGGCGAAAGCGCUCUACUGGACCGCAACUGACACUCAGGGACGAAAGCUAGGGGAGCGAAUGGG